AAGGAAUUGACGGAAGGGCACCACCAGGAGUGGAAUCUGCGGCUUAAUUUGACCCAACGCGGGAAAACUCACCAGGUCAGGACACGGUAAGGAUUGACGGACUGAAGGCUCUUUCUCGAUUCCGUGGAAAGUGGUGCAUGGCCGUUUUUGGUUGGUGGAUCGAUCCGUCUGGUUAAUUCCGUUAACGAACGAGACCUCGGCACUCCGAAUAGCGCGGCGGACGUCGCGGCCUCCGGGCCGUCUUCCGCACGAGCUUCUUAGAGGGACCGUCCCCCGCCGGGGAAGGAGGUGCGAGGCAACGACAGGUCUGUGAUGCCCUUAGAUGUUCUGGGCCGCACGCGCAUUACACUGACGCGUCCAACGGGUGACUCCCGACCCGAAGGGGCCGGGGAAUCCGCAAGGCGCGUCGUGAUGGGGAUUGAACGUUGCAAUUGUUGUUCACGAACGAGGAAUUCCUAGUAGGCGCGGGGUCAUCAACCCGCGCCGAUUACGUCCCUGCCCUUUGUACACACCGCCGUCGCUCCUACCGAUCGAACGGUCCGGUGACGGACCCAGGACGGCGCGGGACCCGA
rnacentral:rRNA from 1 species